rnacentral:rRNA from 1 species
GCACAACGCGAAGAACCUUACCUACUCUUGACAUCCAGAGAACUUAGCAGAGAUGCUUUGGUGCCUUCGGGAACUCUGAGACAGGUGCUGCAUGGCUGUCGUCAGCUCGUGUUGUGAAAUGUUGGGUUAAGUCCCGCAACGAGCGCAACCCUUAUCCUUUGUUGCCAGCGGUUCGGCCGGGAACUCAAAGGAGACUGCCAGUGAUAAACUGGAGGAAGGUGGGGAUGACGUCAAGUCAUCAUGGCCCUUACGAGUAGGGCUACACACGUGCUACAAUGGCGUAUACAAAGAGAAGCGACCUCGCGAGAGCAAGCGGACCUCAUAAAGUACGUCGUAGUCCGGAUUGGAGUCUGCAACUCGACUCCAUGAAGUCGGAAUCACUAGUAAUCGCGGAUCAGAAUGCCGCGGUGAAUACGUUCCCGGGUCUUGUACACACCG